AGUCACGCACCGCCGCUCGCGGCUCUCCCACACCUCCUUCCUUACCCUAGCCAGCUGCAGUCAGGGAAAGAGAAAGCUCGCCCGCUCGCUCUCUCUCCACAAGUCGCCUUAGCCACUCUGCCACUACCUCCCUGGCCCGGAAUAGACCCAGAAAACUGAAGCGGUGGUGUGGCAGGAGACUGGAAUUCCAGCACUUACACUCGGGAAUCUGCGACUGAAGGAUCAAGAGAUGGGUCUGGGUUGUUUUGAGUUCCAGCAGUGAGCCUAGGGCUAUAUAGAGCACAGACUGCAGAAAACGCUGCGCAAACGCUAGCCUUAACCCAACCGACCUGAGUUUCUCUGGGGUCCACGUCCCACGCCGCUACGGUGCUAGCCCUCACUAGAACAAAGAAGAAAAGAAUCCUGCAUGUGAAUGCCACUGCGGGUCAACCAGCUUUAAGGAUGAGCGCGAGAAGGGAUGUUGAGAGCAGCAGUACGCAAAACGACUGACGAGGAUCCAAACCAUCACUGAAUCCGCUCUAGAUUCUUCGAAGGACUAAACUCUUUUACAGUUGACAGUCGCGAGUUGGUUUUGGAACUGGAAAAAGUGGGAGAGCCAGCAAAAUGAACUGAAAGUAUUUACAGCAAAUAAAUAUUGCAGAGAA